rnacentral:rRNA from 1 species
CCUAUACCCGUUAAGGCAUGAUGGCCUGUACCCGAAACCGACACAGGUGGGGUGGUAGAGAAUACCGAGGGGCGCGAGAUAACUCUCUCUAAGGAACUCGGCAAAAUGGCCCCGUAACUUCGGGAGAAGGGGUGCCACCGCAAGGUGGUCGCAGUGAAGAGGCCCAGGCGACUGUUUACCAAAAACACAGGUCUCCGCUAAGUCGCAAGACGAUGUAUGGGGGCUGACGCCUGCCCAGUGCCGGAAGGUUAAGGAAGCUGGUCAGCGUAAGCGAAGCUAGCGACUGGAGCCCCGGUGAACGGCGGCCGUAACAAUAACGGUCCUAAGGUAGCGAAAUUCCUUGUCGGGUAAGUUCCGACCCGCACGAAAGGCGUAACGAUCUGGGCGCUGUCUCGGAGAGAGGCUCGGCGAAAUAGAAUUGUCUGUGAAGAUGCGGACUACGUGCACCCGGACAGAAAGACCCUAUGAAGCUUUACUGUAGCUUGGUAUUGUGCUCGGGCUCGGAAUGCGCAGGAUAGGUGGGAGGCUAUGAACCAUUGCUUGUGGGUGAUGGUGAGCCACUGGUGAGAUACCACUCUUUCCGAGCUAGAGUUCUAACAGCCACCCGUUAUCCGGGGGCUGGACAGUAUCAGGUGGGCAGUUUGACUGGGGCGGUCGCCUCCUAAAAGGUAACGGAGGCGCGCAAAGGUUUGCUCAGGCUGGUUGGAAAUCAGCCGACGAGUGUAAAAGCAGAAGCAAGCUUGACUGUGAGACCUACAAGUCGAACAGGGAGGAAACUCGGCUUUAGUGAUCCGACGGUUCUGCGUGGAAGGGCCGUCGCUCAACGGAUAAAAGUUACUCUAAGGAUAACAGGCUGAUCUCCCCCAAGAGUUCACAUCGACGGGGAGGUUUGGCACCUCGAUGUCGGCUCAUCGCAACCUGGGGCUGAAGUCGGUCCCAAGGGUUGGGCUGUUCGCCCAUUAAAGCGGUACGCGAGCUGGGUUCAGAACGUCGUGAGACAGUUCGGUCCAUAUCCGGUGCAUGCGCAGGAAUAUUGAGAGGAUUUCUCCCUAGUACGAGAGGACCGGGAGGAACGCACCUCUGGUGUACCAGUUAUCGUGCCAACGGUAAACGCUGGGUAGCCAUGUGCGGAGAGGAUAACCGCUGAAAGCAUCUAAGUGGGAAGCCCACCUCAAGAUGAGUAUUCCCAUGGGUUAACCCAGUAAGGUCACGGGAAGAACACCCGUUGAUAGGCUCUACGUGGAAGCGCAGUAAUGUGUGAAGCGGAGGAGUACUAAUAGACCGAGGGCUUGACC